rnacentral:rRNA from 1 species
GCUUACGGCCAUACCAACCUGGCUAUGCCUGAUCUCGUCUGAUCUCGGAAGCUAAGCAGGUUUGGGCCUGGUUAGUACUUGGAUGGUAGACCGCCUGGGAAUACCAGGUGCUGUAAGCU